rnacentral:rRNA from 1 species
AGACCCCACUGCUAUCGGGAUGAGACUAGACAUGCUAGUCGUGCGUCUCUAGCUAUGACGAGACGCGCGCACAGCUCAGUACACGUGCUACCUGCCCUAGGACAAAGAUAAUCCCGGGAAACUGGGCUAUAUUGAUAGGUGAAGAAUUCUGGAAUGUAUCUCGCCAAAGGGUGCCUAGGUCAUGCUUCUGGGCAUUGCCUAAGGAUGGGGCCGCGUCCGAUCAGGUUGUUGGUGAGGUAAUGGCUCACCAAGCCUAUAACCGGUGCGGGCCGUGAGAGCGGGAGCCCGGAGAUGGGCACUGAGACAAGGGCCCAGGCCCUACGGGGCGCAGCAGUCGCGAAAACUUUGCAAUACACGAAAGUGUGACAAGGUCAUCCCGAGUGCCGUCCGCUGAGGAUGGCUUUUACCCAGUGUAAAAAGCUGGGAGAAUAAGGAGAGGGCAAGUCUGGUGUCAGCCGCCGCGGUAAUACCAGCUCUCCGAGUGGUGUGGAUGUUUAUUGGGCCUAAAGCAUUCGUAGCCGGCUGGGCAAGUCCCCUGUUAAAUCCACCGAUUCAAUCGUUGGAAUGCGGGGGAUACUGUUCGGCUAGGGGACGGGAGAGGCCGACGGUAUUUCCGGGGUAGGGGUGAAAUCCUAUAAUCCCGGGAAGACCACCAGUGGCGAAGGCUGUCGGCUAGAACGCGCCCGACGGUGAGGGAUGAAAGCUGGGGGAGCGAACCGGAUUAGAUACCCGGGUAGUCCCAGCUGUAAGGUUUGCACGCUAGGUGUUUGGGCGGCUACGAGCCGCUCUAUUGCCGCAGGGAAGCUGUAGGGCCUGCCGCCUGGGGAGUACGGCCGCAAGGCUGAAACAUAAAGGAAUUGGCGGGGGAACACCCCAAGGGGAAAACAAUGGGGGUUAAUGCGGGAUCACCCCGAA